rnacentral:rRNA from 1 species
UCGGGAAUCUUGCACAAUGGGCGAAAGCCUGAUGCAGCAACGCCGUGUGAGCGAGGAAGGUCUUCGGAUCGUAAAGCUCUGUUGUUGGGGACGAAGGGCGAAGGGUUAAUAGCCCCUAGCCUGACGGUACCCUUCGAGGAAGCCCCGGCUAACUACGUGCCAGCAGCCGCGGUAAUACGUAGGGGGCGAGCGUUGUCCGGAAUUAUUGGGCGUAAAGAGCGUGUAGGCGGCUUGGUAAGUCUGUCGUGAAAUGCUGGGGCUCAACCCUGGACGUGCGAUGGAUACUGCUAGGCUAUUAUG